AGUCAANCGGUGCCGUUCGUNUGCUCUAGACUUAGCGUUGGUCCUAGGAUCUCANACUGNGCCGCUGGUNUGUGAUCANGCCUAACACAUGCAAGUCGAACGGCAGCACAGAGGAGCUUGCUCCUUGGGUGGCGAGUGGCGGACGGGUGAGGAAUACAUCGGAAUCUACUUUUUCGUGGGGGAUAACGUAAGAAACUUACGCUAAUACCGCAUACGACCUACGGGUGAAAGCAGGGGAUCUUCGGACCUUGCGCGAUUGAAUGAGCCGAUGUCGGACUAGCUAGUUGGCGGGGUAAAGGCCCACCAAGGCGACGAUCCAUAGCUGGUCUGAGAGGAUGAUCAGCCACCCUGGAACUGAGACACGGUCCAGACUCCUACGGGAGGCAGCAGUGGGGAAUAUUUGGACAAUGGGCGCAAGCCUGAUCCAGCCAUACCGCGUGGGUGAAGAAGGCCUUCGGGUUGUAAAGCCCUUUUGUUGGGAAAGAAAUCCAGCUGGCUAAUACCCGGUUGGGAUGACGGUACCCAAAGAAUAAGCACCGGCUAACUUCGUGCCAGCAGCCGCGGUAAUACGAAGGGUGCAAGCGUUACUCGGAAAUUACUGGGGCGUAAAGCGUGCCGUACGGUGGGUCGGUUUAACGGUCCCGGUUGUGGAAAAGGCCCUUGGGGCUCCACCUUGGGGGAAACUUGCAGUUGNNUACUUGGGACGGACUAGAAGUUGUGUCAACGACGUNCGAUUCCCUGGUUGUUAGCCUGAAUCUUACGUCCGGAGGAACUCCUUGGNGGAAGGGUUCCUGGGCCCACUUGACUUGNGCCCNUAUGCUNNUNNGCNCCACCGGNUUAAUCCCGGNAUACCGCCCUUAUUUGCAUCGUUUGGGUCAUGGCCACACGAUACGUUUUCCGUGGGNCGAAUAAAGUUGUGGCCCGGGUGUUGGCACUUGAUCCGCGGGG
rnacentral:rRNA from 1 species